rnacentral:tRNA from 2 species
GCCUGCGUAGCACAGUGGUAGAGCAUUUCACUUGUACGUAUAGUACGUGAUGAAAAGGUCCGGUGUUCAAACCACCGCGGAGGCA